ensembl:lncRNA
GCUCCGCCCCCCUCAGAACCUUCUGGAACAUCCCGAGCUGGAAAAACCCACCCGGACCAUCCCAGCCCACCCCAGGACACCCCAAAAAUCCCCGAAUCCCGGAGUGGUUUUGUCUAAACUCCUCCCGGAGGUUUUUGGGGUCGGGAUCGUUCCCCGUGGAGCCCCGAAACCCUUUGGGAGCGGAAUUUUCUGGAUCUCCACCCCAAAUCCCACCCGGAACAUCUCCAGCUCUUCCUGGCGCCCUGUCCUUGCUCCCUCAGAAUUCCCGGGAUUUCUCCUCUUUUCCGGAGUUCCUUUUUGGGGCCCCUCCUGACCUUUCACCCCUUGGUGAUGUCCCCAAACUCUGUCACCCCCCCCGAGGGGACAGCGGGGCCCGCAUUCCCAUUCCCCAUCCCCGAUUUUGGGGGAGAACCCACAGAAACGGACAAAUCCCAUUCCCAGCUCUCGGCUUCCGAGAGGAGGAGCCGGGGAACGUCACCGAGGGGAUCCCGGAGGGGACACGCGACCCCCCGGGGCCACCAGGGCAGGGACACGGGGACGCGGUGACGACGUGGCCGAGGGUCACCAGGAGCGGGGACCUGGAGGUGACACCGGAGGGGAACCAGACCCGUGAGUUCCAUGGGAAAGGGAGGGACGUGGCUUUGUCACCGUCCCGGGGGGAUUUGUCACCGUCCCAAGGGAUUUGUCACCGUCCCAAGGGAUUUGUCACCGUCCCGGGGGGAUUUGUCACCAUCCCAAGGGAUUUGUCACCAUCCCAAGGGAUUUGUCACCGUCCCAAGGGAUUUGUCACCAUCCUGGAGGGAUUUGUCACCGUCCCGGGGCAUUUGUCACCGUCCUGGGGGGAUUUGUCACCGUCCUGGGGGGAUUUGUCACCAUCCCAGGGGAUUUGUCACCAUCCCGGGGCAUUUGUCACCGUCCUGGGGGGAUUUGUCACCGUCCCAAGGGAUUUGUCACCGUCCCAAGGGAUUUGUCACCAUCCCAAGGGAUUUGUCACCGUCCCAGGGGAUUUGUCACCAUCCUGGAGGGAUUUGUCACCGUCCCGGGGCAUUUGUCACCGUCCUGGGGGGAUUUGUCACUGUCCUGGACGGAUUUGUCACCGUCCCAAGGGAUUUGUCACCGUCCCAGGGGAUUUGUCACCAUCCUGGAGGGAUUUGUCACCGUCCUGGAGGGAUUUGUCACCGUCCUGGGGGGAUUUGUCACCGUCCCAAGGGAUUUGUCACCGUCCCAGGCGGAUUUGUCACCGUCCCAAGGGAUUUGUCACCGUCCCAGGGGAUUUGUCACCGUCCUAGGGGAUUUGUCACCAUCCCAGGGGAUUUGUCACCGUCCCAAGGGAUUUGUCACUGUCCUGGAGGGAUUUGUCACCAUCCCAGGGGAUUUGUCACCGUCCCAGGGGAUUUGUCACCGUCCUGGGGGGAUUUGUCACUGUCCCAAGGGAUUUGUCACCAUCCCAAGGGAUUUGUCACCCUCCUGGAGGACCUGUCACCCUCUCAAAGGACCUGCCACCACCCCGAGGGGACCGGCCACCACCCUGGAAUGUCCUGUGGUCACCUCUGUCCCCACAGGAGUGUCCUCGGGUGUCCCAGCCCGUUACUGGUCCCCCGUCAUCUUCGUGGUGCUGGCCCUGCUCGUGCUCCUCGUCACCUACCACAGGACCAAGGACAAAGUCACAGGGAUCCGGGACCGGGCCACGAGCGGCAGCGACUCCUCAGGUGAGCCCUGUGGGGGAACUGGGGGAACUGGUUUUACUGGGAUGUUUUGUUUUAUUGGGG